CGUAGGUGAACCUGCGGAAGGAUCAUUACCGAGUUGAUUCGAGCUCCGGCUCGACUCUCCCACCCAAUGUGUACCUACCUCUGUUGCUUUGGCGGGCCGCGGUCCUCCGCACCGGCGCCCUUCGGGGGGCUGGCCAGCGCCCGCCAGAGGACCAUAAAACUCCAGUCAGUGAACUUCGCAGUCUGAAAAACAAGUUAAUAAACUAAAACUUUCAACAACGGAUCUCUUGGUUCUGGCAUCGAUGAAGAACGCAGCGAAAUGCGAUAAGUAAUGUGAAUUGCAGAAUUCAGUGAAUCAUCGAAUCUUUGAACGCACAUUGCGCCCCUUGGUAUUCCGAGGGGCAUGCCUGUUCGAGCGUCAUUUCAACCCUCAAGCUCUGCUUGGUAUUGGGCUCCGUCCUCCACGGACGCGCCUUAAAGACCUCGGCGGUGGCGUCUUGCCUCAAGCGUAGUAGAAAACACCUCGCUUUGGAGCGCACGGCGUCGCCCGCCGGACGAACCUUUGAAUUAUUUCUCAAGGUUGACCUCGGAUCAGGUAGGGAUACCCGCUGAACUUAAGCAUAUCAAUAAGCGGAGG
rnacentral:rRNA from 1 species